rnacentral:rRNA from 1 species
GAUGAACGCUGGCGGCGUGCUUAACACAUGCAAGUCGAACGGAAAGGCCCAAGCUUGCUUGGGUACUCGAGUGGCGAACGGGUGAGUAACACGUGGGUGAUCUGCCCUGCACUUCGGGAUAAGCCUGGGAAACUGGGUCUAAUACCGGAUAGGACCACAUUUUGGAUGGUGUGGUGGAAAGUUUUUCGGUGUGGGAUGAGCUCGCGGCCUAACAGCUUGUUGGUGGGGUAAUGGCCUACCAAGGCGUCGACGGGGAGCCGGCCUGAGAGGGUGUACGGCCACACUGAGCCUGAGAUAAGGCCCAGGCUCCUACUGGAGGCAGAAGGGGGGAAUCUUGAACGAUGGGCGCCGGCCUGAUGCAGCGGCGCCGCGUGGGGGAUGACGGCCUUAGGGUUGUAAACUCCUUUCGCUAGGGACGAAGCGUUAUGUGACGGUACCUGGAGAAGAAGCACCGGCUAACUACGUG